rnacentral:lncRNA from 10 species
CAGAAGGGACUGUCCCAACUUAGGCACAGGCACCAUAAAUCAACUAAAUGUCCUGAACAUGACCCAGAGCUAAUUGUAAUAUCAUUAGCACUGUGGUUUGGGCGCCUCCCCCCCACCAUGGGUUUCGCUAAGGUGCUUGGGUAAUAACCAAGAUGGAAUCACUAUGGUGCAACACCCCUGGGGGAACUUUACCCCUCCCAUUAUGACAGAACCCACAGAAGACUUCUUUUGCCACAUAAAAAACCCAGAACUCAGCCUCAUUUCUGACAACCCACUUUUGAGUCCCCUCUUGCUGCUAAGAGCUUUUCUGUUGCUUAGUAAAUUCUACUCUGCCUUACUUACUCUCUGGUGUCUGCUUGCCUUCUUCUUGGUCAUGGGACAAGAACUCAGACCUCGCUAAACAAAGGAGUUAAGAAGGCUGCAAUACUAGGUGGUCUAGUAUUAGCCUUUUUCCUCUAAGGUAGGAUGGGAAUGAUACUGGGAACAAUUUGUUUUCUAGAUUUCCUAAAAAUCAUCACACUUAUAUUUGUUUUAUGAUGGUUUCUUCAUUUCAAACUUUCAUUCAUUCAGCAAAAUGUAUCCAAUUUAUUAAGUGCCCACCAUAUGCAAGAACAGUAGCAGACAUGAGAGACCCAGACCUUGACCUUAUAUAGCUAACGAUGCUCAUUUCAGAUUAUUUUUCAUUGAUAAGCUUUAGGGUGGCUGUACUCCGAUGAAAUAUAAGAAAUGACCAUGUCUCAUUAGCAAGCCACACAGAUUGUGAAGAUCAUAAUGUUGGCUGGGUACUCAGCCAGAGGCAUUCCCAAGAACAGCUAAUCUCAUCCCUAGUAUUCAUUCCUUAAUGACUAAGUGCCUGCAAGAUUCUAGGCCCUGUGCUGAGAAUACUAAAAUGGAUAAAACAUAAUCUCCACCUUUCUGAGCUCACAUUUGAGUGAGACAUUUGGGUAUUUAACUUUAGUCAAAGCAAAUUGAAUGACCCUGACCUCAAUUCUUUGCUUUUCUUUUACCUCAACUGCUUAGUGUAAUGCUGAUCACAUCAUUGUUGGAUUUGAGUUGUAACGAAUGUUCAAUGUCCUCUAGAACAAAUAUUCAAUGGUUGUUUGAAAAACACUUAACAGAAACAAAAAUGUCCUUUUAAAAACAUGAAAAGGUCCAAUUUAGAAAUGCAUGUUUAAACUAUACUACACAUAAAUACCAAAAAAAUAGUAUUUUUAAUCAGAUGGGCAAAAAUCCAAAUGUUCAAGAGCCUACUCUACUGGUAAGGCUGUGGGGAAACAGGCACUCAUAUACAGUGUUGGUGGGAGUUUAUACCAUCCCCGUGCCUGCCAGAUUUCUAGCUAGUGGGCAGUCAUAGUGGCUGUGUUUCUCUUUUCCCUUUUCUCAAUUCCCUUACCUCCUUCCCUUUUUGGUGAUGGAAAAGACCAGACUCCAAGUGGCUGAGGGGAAGCGAGAGUGAACACAAGAAAAUAAGGAAACUUAUGAGGCCCAAGGGCAACAAAACAAUCUGGCUGGGGUAAGGAAAGCUGCAAGGCAUCUGAAGAUCAUCCCCUAAGCAAUAGGCUUGAGGCUUUUUAAGGCAACUCCUGUAGAGGAGGAGCCACGCCUUUGACUUUCACUCAACACAGGCCCUUCCUGUCCAAGAGGGGAGGCUUUGUCACUGAGUUAAUGGACAGUGGCUUCCGACCCUACCUCCACACCUGCUUUUCCAUGUUUUCUCCUCCAACCAUUUCCUACCCUAUCCUCUCAAUCUCAGGAAUAUCCAGUUAUUGCAAACAUGCCUCUAAGGGGUCAAGUCACACUCACUACCGCCACCACUUGGUGGCUCCACUCAACAGAUCUUCACUCAACAGUUCAGCACUCAACAGAUCUUCAAGAGCAGGGUCAGCCCUUGUAGGGCCUUGAAACUGAGGGCCUCCUUAAACUCGUGCUGGGUGAUCUCCCUAGUCCUGGCCCUGCUCAGCAGUCUGCCGCUGAAGUGCUCCCUGGGAGCAGACCACCAGCCCAAUCCUCCAGCCUCUCCAGGUUGGAUUGAGUGUCUGGCUGACUCAGGAGCAUCACAUGGGGACCAGGAUGCCAGAGGGAGGUGGCGAGGCCCAACCUGUUGCUUCUGGAGGCUUAUGUUUCAGGCAGUGAGACGAGUUCGUUCUCAGAAGAUUCUGCGACUUAUCUUCUCCCGUUCUGUGGUAGUCUUUUUUGUCAGGAGCAAAGAGCAGGAAUGGAGGGAAAAGUGAAGAAGACCUAGAGAACAAAUAAGUGACACAGCCAAUACAUCUUUUAUUCAACUGACAGGGACCAUAAGUCCCCUGUUGGGUAACCCAAGGAAGUUCACAGUUCAUCAGAAGGAACCAAUUCAGAUAAUAGCUAGAAAUCUGAUAGGCACGGAGCAGUUGGGCUGCAUGGCAAGUGGGCAUUCAUCCCCAAAGUUUCCUGGAAGAGGAUGCCCAGGUGCCUGGUGGCAAGAGACAAGGCAAAGGAGAAUCAUUUCCUCGGAUGUCAGUUUUUCAGUUUUACAUUGGAUUUUCCACCUUUGAGUUGUUUAUUCCUUUCUGUCCUUUCAGAUUUCUGGACCCAAGUAUCCUCAGUGCCCAUAUUGGAAGCCCCAGCCCCAAUGAAUCACAGGAGCUUGGUAGUUGCCCCACCAUAGUUUCUGAUAUUGGUGACUAGCCCCAGUUCUUUUACUGAGUUAAGAGUGGAAGAAGACCUUGCAACUAAGGGGAAUGGAACUGAGGUCUAGCCUAGUGAGGCUACAGAGAAUAAACCUGACAACAGGAGUGUGAAGAUCCAUCCGAAAAGGGUGAGGUACCACUGCUUGAAAUAUGAAUCCCCUAGCCAGUGGUUCUCAAACUUUAGCUUGUAUCACACAUCCAGGAGGGCAUUUAGUUAAAAGACUGAACGUUGAGCUCCUUCCCGAGUUUCUGAUUCAGUAGUUCUCCUGGGGCGGGGGCUAAGAAUUUGCAUUUCAAACAAGUUUCCAGGUGAUAUUUAUGCUGCUGGCCCAAAGACCAAAUUUUGAGAGCCACAGUUUGGUAUGGCUCACAAGGGAAAAGAGGAAAAUUUUGCUAGCUCAGGCUCUCUAAGGAUCUAAAGGAAUGGAUUUCACUUUUCUGAUAUUGCCCAGCCCCACCCACUCCCAUUCAGUGCAUGCAUCCUAAUUCAGAGAUGGAAAGAACUGGCCUUCUGGCCUUUGUAGGUCUGAGUCAGGACCUGCCCUUGAUGGAAAUAGGAAACAGUGAUUUGAUUGCAGGAAUGUUGGAAAGGGAGGAAUUUUGUCCCAAAUUAUCACCUCUUUGGUUCUCUGAAGCCAUAACAUUACUUUGACAAGGGAAAAGUUUUUCCUUCCACAAUUAGAACUAAGGCGUAAAGUGUAAAUAGCCUGGUGAAAAGCUAACACUUUCGGUUACAGUCUCCUAUGCAAGGGAUUCUUUGAAAGAUACUAUGUUGGGGUGGAAAGGGGAGGAUACUCAGAAUAGGGUGGAGGUACCAGAUGGAAAAAUGUGACAGGUUCCUGAAGAUGAUAUCCCUGUUUUACAUUUUGCCCAAAGAGAACACAGAGAUUCUUUUUAUUUAAAGGGGACGGGGUGAAACAUGAACAU